CCGGCGACCGGCGCACGGGUGAGUAACACGUAUGCAACCUGCCCGUGGCAGGGGGAUAAGCGGGGGAAACCCCGUCUAGUACCGCGUAACGCGGCCUAGGGACAUCCCAAGGCCGCCAAAGGGAGCAAUCCCGGCCACGGAUGGGCAUGCGGCGCAUUAGCUAGUCGGCGGGGUAACGGCCCACCGAGGCGACGAUGCGUAGGGGUUCUGAGAGGAAGGCCCCCCACACUGGUACUGAGACACGGACCAGACUCCUACGGAAGGCAGCAG
rnacentral:rRNA from 1 species